rnacentral:rRNA from 1 species
CCUANGGGUGGCAGCAGUGGGGAAUAUUGGACAAUGGGGGAAACCCUGAUCCAGCGACGCCGCGUGUGUGAAGAAGGCCUGCGGGUUGUAAAGCACUUUCGGUGGGAACGAAAUAUGCCGGGCUAAUACCCCGGUAGGCUGACGUUACUCAAUGAAGAAGCACCGGCUAACUCUGUGCCAGCAGCCGCGGUAAUACAGAGGGUGCGAGCGUUAAUCGGAAUUACUGGGCGUAAAGCGCACGUAGGUGGCUAUGUAAGUCGGGUGUGAAAUCCCCGGGCUCAACCUGGGAACUGCAUUCGAGACUGCAUGGCUGGAGUACGGAAGAGGAGGGCGGAAUUCCCGGUGUAGCGGUGAAAUGCGUAGAUAUCGGGAGGAACAUCAGUGGCGAAGGCGGCCCUCUGGUCCAGUACUGACACUCAAGUGCGAAAGCGUGGGGAGCAAACAGGAUUAGAUACCCUUNUANUC